ACAAUCCAUCCAUCCUUGUUCCGUACAGUCAAACGUGGUAAUCGUGGAGGAAUCUAUUGGCUCCGUCAGUAGGUGGCUAAAAUCAAGUUGUCCCCCAGCCGCCAGAUGACGCGAUCACGCGAUUAACUUAACGAAAGUUCGCCAUUUUGUUCCGAAACGCCAAGUGAAAAGGUAUUCCAAAUUCGUUACGGAAUUGCUGUGUCGAUCUACAUUUUCAGCAUUUAAAUUUAAUGGCAAUCUGGCAUAUAAUUUCCACUUGGCCAAAUAAUCGAUCACGUGGACUGAAACUACUUUUCAUUUUGCUUAAAUGUCCGUUGUUAGCUGUACCUGUUCGGAUGUACGUCUCAUCUCACGCAGAAACACUACAGAGUUGGUGUUCAGGUUGGAGAUCCUGUUGCAGAAUUUGAGAACUCGACAAAUUCUGAGCUCCAGCCAGCUGGUGAAAGGUGUGCUGCAGCUGCUGCAUGCAGUUUAUUGAGCUGGUGUUAUCCUGAAGUGUCAUUGCAGGAAAAGUUUUUGAAAUGGACUUGGUGACACUUAAACUAUGCCUGUGCAGUGGUUUUGCAGCCUGUUUCCAGUUGAGAGAUGUGAUUAUGUAGCUGACACAGGAUUGAAGAAAAAGAACUGAAGUAGCUGUGCCUCAGGAGUUGCAGAUAGUGUUUGGUUCCUCAUAGAAGUUUAUUUAAAGAGUAUUGAGAUGAUCAGCCACUUCUGCCUAUAACUUAUGUAAAACGUCAAAGUUGUAACUUGUAAGAAAUAUACAAGUCAAGUGCUAAA